rnacentral:rRNA from 1 species
CUUUAAGAGAUUAAAUUAAAGUAUAACCUGCUCAAUGAAAAAAUUAAAUAGCCGCAGAAUUACUGUGCCAAGGUAGCAUAAUAAUUUGUUUCUUAAUUAGAAGAUAGAAUGAAAGGUAAAACAUUUAAAAAUUGUAUCUGUUUAUUAAGCAAAAUUAAUAAAAGAGUAAAAAUCCUCUUUACUUAAGCGGGACGACAAGACCCUGAUAAACUUAUUAUUUAGUUGGGGAAACAUAAAAAUAAAUAUUUAAUAUUAUUAACAACAAAACUUAAAAUAAAAUUAAGAAUAGUUACUACAGGGAUAACAGCGUUAUUUCUUUUAAAAGACCUUAUUUAAAAAGAAGAUUACGACCUCGAUGUUGMAAUUAAUUAACCCAUAUUACGCAMUAGUAAAUUAGGGAAGUCUGUUCGACCAUCAAAUAUUU